AUACUCACCUGGCUUAGUGAUACCGUGAUCAUGCAGGCGGUUUCCCCAGGGUGAGGCUGCUCCAUUUCACUGCGGAGUGGUUGACUCUUGCUAUUUUUUUUAUGUUUUUAUCAGUUUCACUUCUACUGUGUGUGACUUCCACGCACACA
rnacentral:snRNA from 9 species